rnacentral:snoRNA from 11 species
UUGGAGGUUAAGAAGGUGAGACCAGUUAAGACCAUGUGGCUCUCACUGAUACCCACCUCCUAGAUUAAAGCAGCUGAGAGAGCAACUUCUGCCAGACAGACAGGCCGGCGUUACAUCUCAGCCGACAAGA